rnacentral:lncRNA from 1 species
AGGAGUGGAAUUGAAGGGAAAAUUUAAAGAAAAACCCAAAAUAAAUUGGCGUGCCAUUGGUAAACCUGCCGGAGGGAAAUCCACUGGGAAAUCGCUUGGCAGCGGCGUUGGUGACGGAAUCCGAUGGCGGCGGCAGAGGGCUUGGCAGCGGCGUUGGUGACCGAAUCCGACGGAGGCAGCAGAGGGCUUGGCAGCGGCGUUGAUGACCGAAUCCGACGGAGGCAGCAGAGGGCUUGGCAGCGGCCUUCGACGGCGGUUGGAGGAGGAUGGGGAGAAAUCAAUGAAAUUAAGCUCCAAUUUAAGGAAAUCGGCGGCGAGGCGAGGCACGAAAAUUCGGCGGCGACGAACAGCGGAGAAAUUCCGGUGGGUGGCUGGUCCGAUGGGGGUUCUGGUAUGGUGUGUGAGAGGGAGGCGCGAGAGCUAGGGCAAAAUGAAAUGUAGAACUUUAAUUUCCCCAAAAUAUAAAUUCAAAUAGACGACGAGAUUUUUCUAUCAUAGACGACACACCUUGCCAUUGUUGUCUAUGAGCGCCCUUUAAUAGACAACACGUUUAAUGUUGUCUAUGUCAAUAUUAGAUGACGCGUUAGUGUGCUUGUCGUUUUUUUCUCAGUUAUAGACAACGCG